UCACCCCUCAAGCCCCGUGCUUGGUGUUGGAUGGCCGGUCGAGGUCCCCCUCGACCCCUCCUAAAGACAACGACGGCGGCCUGUGGUUCCCCCGGUACACUGAGCUUCUUACCGAGCACGUACCGGACGAGGGCACCCAGGACCCGGUCUUCUCCCUUCACCGGGAAAUUUUUCAAU
rnacentral:misc_RNA from 1 species